rnacentral:rRNA from 1 species
UGAAAUUCGCCUUCAUGAAGCCGGAAUUGCUAGUAAUGGCAGGUCAGCAUACUGCCGUGAAUACGUUCCCGGGCCUUGUACACACCGCCCGUCACACCAUGAGAGUUGGGAAUACCCGAAGCCUGUGAGCUAACUAAUAGAGGCAGCAGUCGAAGGUAGAAUCAAUGAUUGGGGUGAAGUCGUAACAAGGUACC